rnacentral:misc_RNA from 1 species
UGAGUAGUGGUAGUAGUAGAGCGGUGGGAGUUAAAGGUUCAUCGCCUGUAAGGAUUUUUCUUUUCUUUCAUAAAGCUAUAAGGAAGGAACUGGAUGGGUUACAUCGAUCUGCUAUGGCGUUUGCGACGAAUCAGGACACUGAGAUUAAGCCUUUUAUGGAACGGUGUUACUUUUUGAGGUCGAUUUAUAAGCAUCACUGCAAUGCUGAAG